GGGAAUAUUGCACAAUGGGGGAAACCCUGAUGCAGCGAUGCCGCGUGGAGGAAGAAGGUUUUCGGAUUGUAAACUCCUUUUAUCAGGGACGAUAAUGACGGUACCUGAAGAAAAAGCUCCGGCUAACUACGUGCCAGCAGCCGCGGUAAUACGGAGGAUCCAAGCGUUAUCCGGAUUUAUUGGGUUUAAAGGGUGCGUAGGCGGCAGAUUAAGUUAGAGGUGAAAUUCCGAGGCUCAACCUUGGCACUGCCUCUGAUACUGGUUUGCUAGCGAGUAGAUGCUGUAGGCGGAAUGUGUGGUGUAGCGGUGAAAUGCAUAGAGAUCACACAGAACACCGAUUGCGAAGGCAGCUUACAAAUCUAUAUCGGACGCUGAGGCACGAAAGCGUGGGGAGCAAACAGG
rnacentral:rRNA from 1 species